AUGAUGAUAAGACCGUGACACGGUAUGCCACCUUUAGUCUUGUGAUGAAGCAAAGCUCAGGACGAAGUAUGAUUAAAUGGUACCCACAUGUGUGCUGCUGAGAAGGAUGUACAGGGGCACCUGCAGCCAAAUCCAAGCCUCCUCAGCAACUUCAAGUCUGUCAGCGUGCUGAGGUCACAGAAACAAGAAAAGAAGCUUCAGACUUCAGAGUGUUGUUUACAGUUUUCUGUCAUCAUGAUCUCCCCUGAAGUUUAUCACUAUUAGGCAAGCAAGCAGAGCGGCAGUUUGUGCUCACAGAUGGUGACGGUGUGGAGAGACGGUGGUGUUUCCUCAGAAGAACCAGCAGAGUCACCAAGGGCACCAGUCCAUCUCACCACCUUGACUUGCUGACUGAUGCUCGUCUGCACUGCACAGAGGAAAUCAACUGACCGAGGAGUGUUUCUGGGUGAGGGAGAGAGGAGUCAUCAUCCAGGUAAAGUGACGUGGAUCAGUGGACACACUUGUCUCCCCUUUAAAGGAGAUAGAGAGACGAUCUGAGUCAUCCCUAAAUAUGGGCAGGAUAUCAGUCUUGGACUGUCUAACCUGCCGGAGCAGCACUGAAUGACCACCACACAUGAGCAUGUUCCUGCAACAUUCAGCAGCUUUGCUUUUGUGUCAAAUGUCCAACAGCUGGAGAGGAAACUAAACCAGUACUGGGCUGUUUCACCAACACGUGCCAGAUGCUGUUCCUUCAUGGUGACAUCACCAGAGACAGCCCCGCCCACCUCAGGACCUCGCCAUUGAUCAUGAUGAUUAUAAUGAUGACAGCGAGCGGAACUAAGACUGUACAAAUCCACGACCAGAAUGUUUAGAUAGUUUCUAAUUAUUAAUGAAUACUG